CACUUAUAGAUGGACCCGCGCCGUAUUAGCUAGUUGGUAAGGUAACGGCUUACCAAGGCAACGAUACGUAGCCGACCUGAGAGGGUGAUCGGCCACACUGGAACUGAGACACGGUCCAGACUCCUACGGGAGGCAGCAGUAGGGAAUCUUCCGCAAUGGGCGAAAGCCUGACGGAGCAACGCCGCGUGAGUGAUGAAGGUCUUCGGAUCGUAAAACUCUGUUAUUAGGGAAGAACAAAUGUGUAAGUAACUGUGCACGUCUUGACGGUACCUAAUCAGAAAGCCACGGCUAMCUACGUGCCAGCAGCCGCGGUAAUACGUAGGUGGCAAGCGUUAUCCGGAAUUAUUGGGCGUAAAGCGCGCGUAGGCGGUUUCUUAAGUCUGAUGUGAAAGCCCACGGCUCAMCCGUGGAGGGUCAUUGGAAACUGGGAAACUUGAGUGCAGAAGAGGAAAGUGGAAUUCCAUGUGUAGCGGUGAAAUGCGCAGAGAUAUGGAGGAACACCAGUGGCGAAGGCGACUUUCUGGUCUGUAACUGACGCUGAUGUGCGAAAGCGUGGGGAUCAAACAGGAUUAGAUACCCUGGUAGUCCACGCCGUAAACGAUGAGUGCUAAGUGUUAGGGGGUUUCCGCCCCUUAGUGCUGCAGCUAACGC
rnacentral:rRNA from 1 species